rnacentral:rRNA from 1 species
GGAAUAUUGCGCAAUGGGGGCAACCCUGACGCAGCGACGCCGCGUGGAUGAUGAAGGCCUUCGGGUCGUAAAAUCCUGUCAGGUGGAAAGAAGUGCACGGCGGUUAAUACCCGCUGUGCUUGACGGUACCACCGAAGGAAGCACCGGCUAACUCCGUGCCAGCAGCCGCGGUAAUACGGAGGGUGCAAGCGUUGUUCGGAAUUACUGGGCGUAAAGCGCGCGUAGGCGGUUUGCUAAGUCAGAUGUGAAAGCCCUCGGCUCAACCGGGGACGUGCAUUUGAAACUGGCAGACUUGAGUACUGGAGGGGGUGGUGGAAUUCCCGGUGUAGAGGUGAAAUUCGUAGAUAUCGGGAGGAAUACCGGUGGCGAAGGCGACCACCUGGCCAGAUACUGACGCUGAGGUGCGAAAGCGUGGGGAGCAAAC